UCGGUCUGUGAGAGAACAGCACGCCGG
rnacentral:piRNA from 1 species